UACGAAGGGGGCUAGCGUUGCUCGGAAUUACUGGGCGUAAAGCGUGCGCAGGCGGUUCUGUAGUUUGUCGUGAAAUCCCCGGGCUCAACCUGGGAAUGGCGAUGAAGACUGCAAGGCUAGAAUCUGGCAGAGGGGGGUAGAAUUCCACGUGUAGCAGUGAAAUGCGUAGAGAUGUGGAGGAACACCGAUGCGAAGGCAGCCCCCUGGGUCAAGAUUGACGCUCAUGCACGAAAGGCGUGGGG
rnacentral:rRNA from 1 species